rnacentral:rRNA from 1 species
GUGGGGAAUAUUGGACAAUGGGCGCAAGCCUGAUCCAGCCAUGCCGCGUGAGUGAUGAAGGCCUUAGGGUUGUAAAGCUCUUUCAGUGGGGACGAUAAUGACGGUACCCACAGAAGAAGCCCCGGCUAACUUCGUGCCAGCAGCCGCGGUAAUACGAAGGGGGCUAGCGUUGUUCGGAUUUACUGGGCGUAAAGCGCACGUAGGCGGAAUGUUAAGGCAGAGGUGAAAUCCUGGAGCUCAACUCCAGAACUGCCUUUGAUACUGGCAAUCUCGAGUCCGGAAGAGGUGAGUGGAACUCCUAGUGUAGAGGUGGAAUUCGUAGAUAUUAGGAAGAACACCAGUGGCGAAGGCGGCUCACUGGUCCGGUACUGACGCUGAGGUGCGAAAGCGUGGGGAGCAAACAGGAUUAGAAACCCGAGUAGUCC